UCAUUUGUAUCAUCUUAGUUUGUUAUCUCUCUUUCUUGCGCCCCACCCUCUCAACUCAACUCAACUCAACUCAACACCAUCACUCGCCUCUCUCACUCUCUCUUAACAUAAACCGAUUCAAUAAAUUAUCUUCCCUUCUCCUCCAUAACCUAUAUCAAUACACCAAAUUCUCAUGGAAUUCAAGAUUCAAUGAGAUUCCUCUCUCUAUUUCAAUUAUUAUGGCAUCUGCACCUUCCAUGUCAGGUACGUCCAACUAAAACUAAAACCCUCGUCUCUAAUUUUUUCUACCUAUGUAUGCAUGUGUUUUAAUUUCCAAUAUAAUGUUCAAAAUAAACGCUCAACUUCAAUUAUCUUUAAUUACUUGAUACGCAACUAAUUGAGGCAUACUUAAUUUUUAAUUAUUUGGUUCAUUAAUUAUCGGUAUUAAGUAGGAGUGUUUUUUUUUUUUUUUUGAAGUGGAAAUGUUGCAAGUUUUUGUUUGGUUUGGUUUAUGAGUGGAUAUUUUUCUUUUUGCAGUUUCUUUGGAGUGUGUGAACGUGUGCAAUUUGUGGAGAGGGGAUGGAAAUGGAAGAUAUGAUUGUAGUCUUCUAUCGUGUGCGUGGAAAGCUCCUAGGGUUCUUACCGGAUUUCUUGCUACCACGGCUCAUCCUCAUCAAUAUUCUUUGUUGAAUGGUCCAAAUGGAAGAAGGAACCGGUAUAAUUUUGUAAGUUUUUGCAGUUUCCCUUUGGCGUUUUCGGCAUUUCCUAUUUUGUGAUUCAAUGCUCUUAAAUUUAACUUAUAUGAUAAUCUAUAUGAGAUGCUGUAGAUUAGGGUCGGACCAUAGGAGUAGGACUAAUUAAUUGAUCGUUUCUUCUUUUUUUGGGGUGGGAGGUUUGUGGUGUGUAGGGAUGAUCCUUUAGGCUAAUGUUACUCCUUCUAUUCCUUUUUAAGAGUAUGUUUGGAUCCACAUUAUGUGCAAUUUUCUUGCGUCCCUAUGUGUAUUGGACGUGAAUUUGUAGAAGCUAGAAAUCUUAGAGUUUGUGGAGUGUGUGAUGAUACUAUCUUAGUUUGUUAUCUCUCUUUCUUGCGCCCCACCCUCUCAACUCAACUCAACUCAACUCAACACCAUCACUCGCCUCUCUCACUCUCUCUUAACAUAAACCGAUUCAAUAAAUUAUCUUCCCUUCUCCUCCAUAACCUAUAUCAAUACACCAAAUUCUCAUGGAAUUCAAGAUUCAAUGAGAUUCCUCUCUCUAUUUCAAUUAUUAUGGCAUCUGCACCUUCCAUGUCAGGUACGUCCAACUAAAACUAAAACCCUCGUCUCUAAUUUUUUCUACCUAUGUAUGCAUGUGUUUUAAUUUCCAAUAUAAUGUUCAAAAUAAAC
rnacentral:lncRNA from 1 species